GAAUUCUCAACUUGAGAGUUUGAUCCUGGCUCAGAACGAACGCUGGCGGCAGGCUUAACACAUGCAAGUCGAGCGCGUAGCAAUACGAGCGGCAGACGGGUGAGUAA
rnacentral:rRNA from 1 species